rnacentral:rRNA from 1 species
CCCGCUGAACUUAAGCAUAUCAAUAAGCGGAGGAAAAGAAACUAACAAGGAUUCCCCUAGUAACUGCGAGUGAAGCGGGAAAAGCUCAAAUUUGAAAUCUGGCGGCUCUGCCGUCCGAGUUGUAUUCUGGAGAAGUGCCUUCCGCGCCGGACCGUGUACAAGUCCCUUGGAACAGGGCGUCAUAGAGGGUGAGAAUCCCGUCUUUGACACGGACCCCCGGUGCUCUGCGAUGCGCUCUCGAAGAGUCGAGUUGUUUGGGAAUGCAGCUCAAAAUGGGUGGUAAAUUCCAUCUAAAGCUAAAUAUUGGCGAGAGACCGAUAGCGAACAAGUACCGUGAGGGAAAGAUGAAAAGAACUUUGGAAAGAGAGUUAAACAGUACGUGAAAUUGUUGAAAGGGAAACGCUUGAAGUCAGUCACGUUGGCCAGAAAUCAACUUGUAACAGGGCGUAAUUUCUGGUUUUACGGGUCAACAUCAAUUUUGAUUGUUGGAUAAAAGUCAAUAUUUAUGCGUUUUCGGACGUGUAGCCUUUGAUUGCAUACAAUGGUUGGGAUUGAGGAACUCAGCACGCCGCAAGGCCGGGUAACUUGUUACCACGUAACGUGCUUAGGAUGUUGGCAUAAUGGCUUUAAUCGACCCGUCUUGAAACACGG